rnacentral:rRNA from 1 species
AACGAACGCUGGCGGCAUGCCUAACACAUGCAAGUCGAACGAGAUCUUCGGGUCUAGAGGCGCACGGGUGCGUAACGCGUGGGAAUCUGCCCUUUGGUUCGGAAUAACAGUUGGAAACGACUGCUAAUACCGGAUGAUGACGAAAGUCCAAAGAUUUAUCGCCAGAGGAUGAGCCCGCGUAGGAUUCGCUAGUUGGUGUGGUAAAGGCGCACCAAGGCGACGAUCCUUAGCUGGGCUGAGAGGAUGAUCAGCCACACUGGGACGGAGACAAGGACCAGAGUGAUACGGGAGGCAGCAGGGUGAAAUAUUGGACAAUGGGCUAAAACCUGAUCCAGCAAUGCCGCGUGAGUGAUGAAGGCCUUAGGGUUGUAAAGCUAUUUUACCCGGGAUGAUAAUGACAGUACCGGGAGAAUAAGCUCCGGCUAACUCCGUGCCAGCCGCCGCCGUAA